CAAAUGAAACCCUAGAAACCCCGAUACCAUCCUCGUGGAUCUCCACGGCGAGGCGAUCGAUCCUCCCGCAUCGCCGUAAUCGGUGUUGUUCUGAGGAUCAAGCCAUCGAUGACUAUCGGCAUUGCCUGCGGGGCUUGCUCCACUACCAGAGAACCUCCCAAAUUUGGUGGUGGCUGGUGGAAGAGGGGUUGGGGUUUCGGUGAAUGCAGGGGAGAGGAAACAGAAAGGUGGUUUGGAUGGGGAGAAGAGGACAAGGAGGACGAGGCCGGAGCGGUGGAUUCCGAGGGCUUCGGAAGGGGAGCAGCUCCGGCUUGGCUGGCUGCUGUGGCUGCGGAUGCUAUUUUGCUAUUUGAGGUUGGGUGCGGUGGCGUGCUGAUUCUUUUGAGAUGCUUGAUAAAGUUAAAUGUUAUAUGCAACAACUCUUGGACGGACUUGAUCAUUGUCAUGGCCAUGGGAUUCUCCAUAGGAACAUCAAAGGCUCCAAUCUUGUGAAUCUGUGAUUGACAAUAAUGGCAUUCUAAAAUUGCCAACUUUGGCUUAGCGACUUUCUUGGACCCUGAGCAUCGCUAACCAUUGACAAGUUGGGUGAUAACAUUAUGAUAUAGACCUCUGGAGCUUUCACUUGGGCUAAUAAUUAUGGGAAUGCCAUGGAUUUAUAUGGACUACAGUUUGUUUUCUUUCUGAACUCUAUGCAGGAGAACCUAUCAUGCCUGGGCAAUCAGAGAAUCAAUGAAAAUUUCAAUCCACAUCAGGAGGAAGUUGGUUCUGGCUUUCUGGGUCACCUACUAGGCCAGCUUCUGUUAUAAAAGCAACCGAAGAAUCUCAUGAUCUUAUGGUGAUAAAACCUCCCAUUCAAGUUCUUUGGUUUAUCAGAAUCAACAGUUGAAGGCCAAGCAAGAUUGUCUGGAAGGCUCUCAUUCCAACUGAUACAUUAUUAGAAUCUGGUUACAAGUCCUCAGAUGUCUACUGGAAAUAUAAGCAUCAGGUAUCUGGAGCUGAAGGCUCUUGGUGAAAAGAGAUAGAAACUGCAGCAGCAGACACCAAACUUCGCUUUGUUACAAGUCUAAGGAAAACGAGCAUCAUUGGUCCAGGCCAUUGCUCUUCCAUUCAGAUGCUCAAGGAACACGACAACCAGAUUCAUGAAGCCAUCAGACUGGUUCGCAUUGACGAAUCAAAGACCAGGAUAAAAGAAGUCCUUAGACGGGUUUGUGUUGGCUAUAAGAGAUCAAGAUAUAUCCAAAUGCGAAACCAGACUGGUAAUGAGGUUUUCGUAUUCAGUGAUUUUCUUAGUGAGAAUGUACUUCACUGUCACAGCAACCACAAAGAUGUUGAACAAUUGCAGUCUCUCUAUAUGGAUCAAGGAUUGUGAAUUUGUAUGCAUGUAUAGACGAGUCCCCCAAAAA